AGUAAAUAGAUACCCGGGUAGUCCACGCCGUAAACGAUGAGUACUAGGUGUAGGAGGUAUCGACUCCUUCUGUGCCGCAGUUAAACACAAUAAGUACUCCGCCUGGGAAGUACGGUCGCAAGAUUAAAACUCAAAGGAAUUGACGGGGGCCCGCACAAGCAGCGGAGCAUGUGGUUUAAAUUCGAAGCAACGCGAAGAACCUUACCUAGACUUGACAUCUCCUGAAUAGUGUAGAGAUACAUGAAGCCCUUCGGGUCGAGGAAGACAGGUGGUGCAUGGUUGUCGUCAGCUCGUGUCGUGAGAUG
rnacentral:rRNA from 1 species